UACGUAGGGGGCAAGCGUUGUCCGGAUUUAUUGGGCGUAAAGAGCGUGUAGGCGGCCAUGUAGGUCCGUUGUGAAAACUCGAGGCUCAACCUCGAGACGCCGAUGGAAACCAUGUGGCUAGAGUCCGGAAGAGGAGAGUGGAAUUCCUGGUGUAGCGGUGAAAUGCGCAGAUAUCAGGAGGAACACCGAUGGCGAAGGCAGGUCUCUGGGCCAUAACUGACGCUGAGAAGCGAAAGCAUGGGGAGCGAACAGG
rnacentral:rRNA from 1 species